rnacentral:rRNA from 1 species
CGUAACGCGUGGGAAUCUGCCCUUGGGUGCGGAAUAACAGUUAGAAAUGACUGCUAAUACCGCAUAAUGACUCCGGUCCAAAGAUUUAUCGCCCAGGGAUGAGCCCGCGUAGGAUUAGCUAGUUGGUGAGGUAAGAGCUCACCAAGGCGACGAUCCUUAGCUGGUCUGAGAGGAUGAUCAGCCACACUGGGACUGAGACACGGCCCAGACUCCUACGGGAGGCAGCAGUGGGGAAUAUUGGACAAUGGGCGAAAGCCUGAUCCAGCAAUGCCGCGUGAGUGAUGAAGGCCUUAGNNUUGUAA